UACGGAGGGUGCUAGCGUUGUUCGGAUUCAUUGGGUGUAAAGGGUCCGUAGGUGGUCUAGCAAGUCUGAUGUGAAAUCCCAUGGCUUAACCGUGGAACUGCAUUGGAAACUGUUGGACUUGAGUACCGCAGAGGUAAAGGGAAUUCCCGGUGUAAGGGUGAAAUCUGUAGAUAUCGGGAGGAACACCAGUGGCGAAGGCGCUUUACUGGGCGGUUACUGACACUGAGGGACGAAAGCAAGGGGAGCAAACAGG
rnacentral:rRNA from 1 species